UCUUUAUAUUCAUAUAAAUAACUUGUGUAUUAUAUAUAUAUUUAAAAAAAAAUUUUGGUUCAUUUCAUUAUAGCACCACUCUCGAGAAAUCUCACUGUACAAAAUAAAAAACAAAAAAGAACAAGAAGCAAGUUGUAGAGUUGUUUGUUUUAAAUUAACAUUUACAAAGUUAUGGAACAUUUGUAAAAAUUUUGAAAGGAAAAAAAAGGCACUUGUUGAUUCUUUGAUAUAUAAAAAAUACGAAGGCGAUUGUGUAAUAUCGCCCAAGAAACAAAACGUUCGCAGGGAGACCACUGGACCAUAAAACGGCGGAAUGGAGGAGCGAAAAUAAAACAACUUUUACUCGCACAUAUUAUAUAUCAGGCGAGCGUUUGUUUAUUCUAUUUGUCAGAUGCGCUUGUUGAUAUUGUGCGCACGCAUUCCUUAGGGAGACCGCUUAACUCUAUAGUAGUUAUCAAAAGUCCUGGACCCGCCUCUUGGUCCGAGACGGUGAACAGCGGCUGGAGGUGACGAGUUUGACGAGGAGGAUGGUAAUGGCGACGAGGUGAAUAACGGACGGUUCGUUGUUGCCUCUGAAGAACUAUAGCUGAACUUUCUUCUCGUUUCUUUCUCCGAAGAAAUGUCGACUUCAGCACGUUCUUUAACGGAGGCUCUGUGCCAAAAUAUCAACAAGGAAAAAAGUAUGCACUUGGGCCUAUGGUCGCCAUUUCUGCUAAUCGUUCUAGCGUUUUUAAGAACCUAUUAAGAGGAACCGUGGUGCGACACUUGAUAACGAUUGCCAGUAGGAAAAGGCGGGCACUUUGCCAAGUGGAAGAACAAAGAAAAAAGGCGGCAAAGGAACGAAUAAUCUGCAGAUGGCGCGAUCGUUGUUUGUUGUAGCCGAAGACGGGGUUAGCUGCCCUGUUGAACAAUGAACGCUACGCGAUUCGAUUUACAACUUAUCUUUUUUGAGAUAAAGGGAAAGUAAUGACAACCAGAUGUACCACGAAUGAUCAUUCAGCAUCGACGCAAAGACCUGUUAGGAGAGAUCAAGUUCUGGCUAAUCAACCACCCAUUACUAGGGCUAGAUAUUUGAAUAUUAUGGAGUCUUCACGUCCUGGCAGGAGAACAACUGCCCGAUCUGCAAGUGAGAAUCAAUCAAGAGUUAGAAUAGCUUCAAAUUCGACAAGUCGACGAGAACGAAAUGGAGAAUCGACAAAUCGUGUCACCGCUAGGCAACAAUCAGACAAUCCUGUUAUCCUUGACGUUCAAAUAGCUCAAAGUUCUCUGGAAAGGCAUCAGCACAUCCUUAGAGACGCCAUCUUACAAAAUACUCUCAGUGUUUCCGUUACCCCUAGUCCCGCAUCGAACUCGGUUGUUCCGAAUUUAGCCAAUACUUCCGUCAACAUUAAUCAAACGACUGUCACCGAACCGACAGAUACUUUGCCAGAUAUUAUAAGUUCUAACUCCAUGCGACGACCAUCAAUAUCAAUUGUCCAUUCGUCGAGGACCGAUGAUAAUCAGAACUUAGAGCGAGAUUGCUCGGAAUGCUGCUUCUCAUGUGUUACACUGGCAACUAGUCUGCGUUGGGUUUUAAUAGGUUUGGCAAUGUUUGGUGUUUGUUGUGUGGCGGCGGGAAUUGUCCUAGGAAGUCUUCAUGUGACUCUAAAGGAACAAAGUUUUCUAACACUAUCUCUAAUGUUUAUAGGCCUAGGAAUAUUAUUGGUUAUUAUUGUUGGUUUUGGUUGGAGGUGUUCAACAAAUAGAGAAGAGCCUUGCCACGCGCUAUUCGGAUUAGGGGAUUAUGCAACCCCUGGUGGUCGCAGACGAAGGAUGACCAGUAGGCCUGAAAGAAAUCGUGGAGGCGGUAGUUUGCCCUCUAGGAGGCCUCAUUUAGCACCGCCUACAUACGAACAAUCCCAGCUAGAUCACAUAGUUACUCAGAUCCGCCUAGGGCAAACAGACCAAAGUCUCCCGUCGACGGCUCCACCUAGCUAUAGGUCUAGAGUUUCGACUAGGCCACAAAUAGUCACCAAUCGAUCGAAUCCACCCAGUUAUAGGUCAAGACAAAGUACAAUUGAACGACCUUCCAUCUUUACGACGACAACUGAUGAGGCCCUUCGUCAGUUAGAUGUUGUUAUCGCAAGUCACGGCGUGCCAGAUACGGCUUUGUAAAUAAAAGGCCGAAAUAACAGCAUUUUAUUUUAUGAUUUACAUAAUCUCUCUUCUUCCAAGUUUUAUAUGCAUAGAUCAUAUAUUCAGUAUUAUUUUCAGUUUUUUUUUCUCUGUUUUAAACCUUAGUUCAAUAAAAUAACAACAGAUGGCGCUUUAACAAAAGAACGACAUCUGUUGAAAAAGUUCCUAUACUCAUAUAACGUAGUCAAGUUUGUAGAUUGUACAUAAAGAGAGCGGCGUCGCGCUUCUUACUCUUUCAACUUUCCUUCUCGAGUGACGUCCGUCUAAUAAGCAUAAUGGAAUUGAGUGGGUGACGAGUGUUUGCGUCGGCUUCCUAUGUCUAUAUUGUCUAUGUACGACUAUUAUAUAUUAGAUGCAUUAUCCACUGUUCAAAGGGAUAUACUGAGGAUAUAUAAAUAUAUGUAUAGAUAUAUAUAUAUAUAAGCA
rnacentral:misc_RNA from 1 species